rnacentral:rRNA from 1 species
CGUAGGGGGCGAGCGUUAUCCGAAGUUACUGGGCGUAAAGCGCGCGUAGGCGGGCUAUUAAGUCGGAUGUGAAAUCUCCACGGCUCAACCGGGAAACAGCAUCCGAAACUGGUAGCCUUGAGGUAUGGAGAGGGAAGUGGAAUUCCAGGUGUAGCGGUGAAAUGCGUAGAUAUCUGGAGGAACACCCGUGGCGAAGGCGGCUUCCUGGCCAUAUCCUGACGCUGAGGUGCGAAAGCCAGGGGAGCGAACGGG